rnacentral:rRNA from 1 species
UGGCGUCCUCAGGGCGUCCGAGUUGUAAUAUAUAGAGGCGUUUUCCGUGCCGGACCGUGUCCAAGUUCCUUGGAACAGGAUAUCAAAGAGGGUGACAAUCCCGUACUUGACACGACGACCGGUGCUCUGUGAUACGUCUUCUACGAGUCGAGUUGUUUGGGAAUGCAGCUCAAAAUGGGUGGUGAGUUCCAUCUAAAGCUAAAUAUUGGCGAGAGACCGAUAGCGAACAAGUACCGUGAGGGAAAGAUGAAAAGCACUUUGGAAAGAGAGUUAAACAGUACGUGAAAUUGUUGAAAGGGAAACGAUUGAAGUCAGUCGUGACCGAGAGGCUCAGCCGGUUCUGCCGGUGUAUUCCCCUCGGUCGGGUCAACAUCAGUUUUGUCCGGUGGAUAAGGACGGUAGGAAGGUGGCACCCUCGGGUGUGUUAUAGCCUGCCGUCGCAUACAUCGGGUGAGACUGAGGAACGCAGCUCGCCUUUAUGGCCGGGGUUGCCCAGUCG